AUACGUAGGUGGCGAGCGUUAUCCGGAAUUAUUGGGCGUAAAGGGUGCGCAGGCGGUUAUAAAAGAUUGUGGUUAAAGAAUGGGGCUCAACUCCAUAAUGCCAUGAUAACUGUAUAACUAGAGUACAGAAGAGGAAAGUGGAAUUCCAUGUGUAGCGGUGAAAUGCGUAGAUAUAUGGAGGAACACCAGUGGCGAAGGCGACUUUCUGGUCUGUAACUGACGCUGAGGCACGAAAGCGUGGGGAGC
rnacentral:rRNA from 1 species